UACGUAGGGUGCGAGCGUUGUCCGGAAUUAUUGGGCGUAAAGAGCUCGUAGGCGGUGUGUCACGUCGGCCGUGAAAACCUGCAGCUUAACUGUGGGCGUGCGGUCGAUACGGGCAUCACUGGAGUUCGGCAGGGGGAGACUGGAAUUCCUGGUGUAGCGGUGAAAUGCGCAGAUAUCAGGAGGAACACCCGGGUGGCGAAGGCGGGGUCUCUGGGCCGAUACUGACGCUGAGGAGCGAAAAGCGUGGGGGAGCAAACAGG
rnacentral:rRNA from 1 species